CAAUAGCGUAUAUUAAAGUUGUUGCAGUUAAAAAGCUCGUAGUUGAAUUUCUGUACAGUCCCAGUUCUGGCUUCUGUCAAGCUGUGGAUUGUGCAUCCGCUUGCAAACCUAGACCGGCCUUCACUGGUCGACUAGGGGAGUAAGCCCUUUACUUUGAAAAAAUUAGAGUGUUUCAGGCAGGCAAAUGGCUCGAAUACAUUAGCAUGGAAUAAUGGAAUAGGACUUUUGUCCAUUUGGUUGGUUAUUGGAUGAGAGUAAUGAUUAACAGGGACAGUUGGGGGCAUUAGUAUUUAAUAGUCAGAGGUGAAAUUCUUGGAUUUAAUUAAAGACUAACUUAUGCGAAAAGCAUUUGCCAAGGAUGUUUUCAUUAAAUCAAGAACGAAAGUU
rnacentral:rRNA from 1 species